rnacentral:rRNA from 1 species
AUUAUUUUAAGCUAAAAGUUGGUAGUAAAUAAAAUUUAUGAAAUCAUAAAAUUUUGGCGGUAUUUUAAGCUUUUUAGAGGAAUUUGCUCUGUAAUGGAUAUAACGCCUUAAUCUUACUUAAUUUAGUUUUAAAUUCAGUUUGUAUACCACUAUAUUUAAUUAUAUUGAAUGAUAAUAUUUAAGAAUUUUUUUUUAAAAAAUAUAUUAAGUCAAGGUGCAUCUAAUAAUUAUGAAUGAAGUGAAUUACAUUGAUUUUGAUUAUAAUUUUACAAUGAAAAAAGUUUAUAGGAUUUAAUAGUAAAAUAUUAAUAUAAUGAAUAUUUGAAUAAAGCUCUAAAAUAUGUACA